rnacentral:ncRNA from 1 species
CCGAGAUAGGGAUGGUGGCUCCGUAGAGCAGUGCGGUUCUUGCGCUGUCCGGUGCGCUCGCGUCGGCCCUUGAAAAUCCGAGUGAGGGAGUGUGAUUUUCGUGCCGGACCGUACCCACAUCCGCAGCAGGUCUCCAAGGUGAACAGCCUCUAGUCGAUGGACCAAUGUAGGUAAGGGAAGUCGGCAAAACGGAUCCGUAACCUUGGGAUAAGGAUUGGCUCUGAGGACUGAGCCGGUCGGGCUGGGGACCUGAAGCAGGAACGGCACUGCACCGGGACUGGGCGGGGCUCGCCGUUGACGCGGCGCGGCCAAGCCCGGACCAGCGUCGGGACCUUCCUGUGGAAAGCCUCAGCUGCGCGGCGUCCGAGGGCUUCGUGCCCAAAGUGCUAUGCUUCGGCCGGCAAAAAACAGUCAACUCAGAACUGGCACGGACCGGGGGAAUCCGACUGUCUAAUUAAAACAAAGCAUUGCGAUGGCCGCUGGUCGGUGUUGACGCAAUGUGAUUUCUGCCCAGUGCUCUGAAUGUCAACGUGAAGAGAUUCAUCAAAGCGCGGGUAAACGGCGGGAGUAACUAUGACUCUCUUGACUAUGACUAUGACUCUCUUGACUUGACUAUGACUCUCGCGAUACCUACUCGCUAAGCGAGAGGUAGAACUCCGACGCGCGGGGUCCAGGUUCUUGAAUGUGGACCUGCGCAACUCGUUCCCAGCACGAACGCUGGAGUCGAUAAAAGGACAAAAAAAGAAGGAUGAGUACAAACAGCUGGUGCAGCGCCUGACUCAGGAGACAGUACCAGCUGGGGGCGUGACAGACGUUGAGGAAAAAGAGGAAGACCCCCGACCGACCGGAAGUGCCCAAGGCACCGAGGGGGAGUCGGCAAUCCUUGAACACCUAAAGAAACUCAUCCAGAAGCCAUGCCCUCGGAAAUUCCAGUCUGACAUACUGUGGGACAUUGCCAAA